rnacentral:misc_RNA from 1 species
UUUCCGUAGGUGAACCUGCGGAAGGAUCAUUAACGUAUCUCCGAGUCCGGCGGUCGGCCUUGCCGCGCCCCGGCUCGAAACCACAAACCACCGUGCUCCUUUACGGCCCGGGUUUGCCGACGCGAGUCGCGCGAUCCGAAGCCGCAUACAAAACAGACUCCAGUUCAAAAGAAUGUUAAGCGGACUCCGAUCCGCCCAUUAACUGAAACAACUUUCAACAACGGAUCUCUUGGCUCUC